rnacentral:rRNA from 1 species
GCUCGUAGUUGAAAUUCGAGUCAGUCUCUGUUUGGUUCGCCUAGCAGUUGGCUGGCUCUCCGUCUAUAAUCUUUUUGCCUUCGCAAGUUGGUAAGAUGCUGAGUAGACAAUUUACCUUGAAAAAAUUAGAGUGUUUCAGGCAGGUUUUCGCCGGAAUACAUUAGCAUGGAAUAAUGGAAUAGGACUGUGGUCUGUUGUUGGUUUUUGGACCAUUGUAAUGAUUAAUAGGGACAGAUGGGGGCAUUAGUAUUUAAUUGUCAGAGGUGAAAUUCUUGGAUUUAUUAAAGACUAACUUAUGCGAAAGCAUUUGCCAAGGAUGUUUU